GGGUUGUGGCUCAGUGGCAGAGCGCUUGCCUAGCACCUAUGAGGUACUGAGUUCAAUCCUCAGCACCCA
rnacentral:tRNA from 1 species